AUUGAACGCUGGCGGCAGGCUUAACACAUGCAAGUCGAGCGGAGAUGAGGUGCCUGCACCUUAUCUUAGCGGCGGACGGGUGAGUAAUGCUUAGGAAUCUGCCUAUUAGUGGGGGACAACAUUCCGAAAGGAAUGCUAAUACCGCAUACGCCCUACGGGGGAAAGCAGGGGAUCUUCGGACCUUGCGCUAAUAGAUGAGCCUAAGUCGGAGUAGCUAGUUGGUGGGGUAAAGGCCUACCAAGGCGACGAUCUGUAGCGGGUCUGAGAGGAUGAACCGCCACACGGGGACUGAGACACGGCCCAGACUCCUACGGGAGGCAGCAGUGGGGAAUAUUGGACAAUGGGCGGAAGCCUGAUCCAGCCAUGCCGCGUGUGUGAAGAAGGCCUUUUGGUUGUAAAGCACUUUAAGCGAGGAGGAGGCUACCUGGAUUAAUACUCUAGGAUAGUGGACGUUACUCGCAGAAUAAGCACCGGCUAACUCUGUGCCAGCCGCCGCGGUAACAC
rnacentral:rRNA from 1 species